UCCGGUGACCAUGGCGGAGGGGAAACACCCGUUCCCAUUCCGAAUACGGCAGUUAAGCCCUCCAGCGCCGAUGGUACUGUCCCCCCGACGGGACGGGAGAGUAGGACGUUGCCGGGG
rnacentral:rRNA from 1 species